UUAUUGUGAUGAGAUUCCACUCCAUGGUCCGUGUUUCUGAAACACAUGAUUUUGUGGAACUUCUGAUUCU